AUCCAGAUCACUUUACUACAACAGCCUUGAAGGAGAUCUCAGAAGCAAAACUGCUUUACGCUGGUAACGAAAAGCCUUUGGGUAGCACACAGUGAGUAAGUGGAGGGACCUGAGGAACGCUGAAAAAGUCUAAGGACCCGGAUGGCGUUUGGCGUGGAAUUUCAAUUCAGAAAGUGCGAAGGAGACAGCUUCCUCCAGCCUCACCUGGGAUAUGUGCUGCCACCAGGACACAAAGGUGUUGCUUUGAGCCUCGGCUGCAUUAGCAGACUGCUGAACUGAGUUCUCCUGACAGGCAAAGACUGAGAGCACUGGAAACUGAAAGGAGAACUGCCAGCGACAGGAGGAAAACACAACCCUGCUGCUAAUGGGAAACAUUCUAGGCGUAGACUAAAAAAAAAAAAAAAAAUCAAUGUUACAGGAAUAAUUCUUAAGAAUGUUUUACCCUGUGUCAAAUUCCUGAAAUUG